rnacentral:sRNA from 1 species
UGGUGACUUAUACCUUGCUGUCUAGUUUAAGGAAUUAAAAAUACACAUGCAUGAACCUUGAACAUCAAAUAUCGGAUAAAUCUGUUCAGAUAAGCUCCUUAUGAAUCCUUCAGAUCGAUGUUCUUGAGGAAAACAGUCAAGCUAAACAUCAAUGAUGACUUUUAUGGUAAAGGAUGAGCCGAUCACUAGCUAAGCUAUUUAGUCACCAUCCUGGGAGAUGAGCUCACAGGCACCAAGGCUUUGCUUCCUGUGGCCUGCUAGUUACAGUGAACCAGCUCCAUGGAUUGACAAGGGUACACAGGAUGAUAGCAGAGCAAAGGAGUUUGCCAAGUAUUUGUUCUGUCAUUAAGUAUUCAAAAGAACAUAUAUUUUUCUUCAUGGAACUUAACUAAGAAUGAAAUUUGGGGACUUGAAUGAUUCAAGGUCAAAUAUUAAACAUUAGCUCCUUCACC